rnacentral:rRNA from 1 species
UAUUGCACAAUGGGGGAAACCCUGAUGCAGCGACGCCGCGUGAGCGAAGCAGUAUUUCGGUAUGUAAAGCUCUAUCAGCAGGGAAGAAAAUGACGGUAUCUGAGUAAGAAGCUCCGGCUAAAUACGUGCCAGCAGCCGCGGUAAUACGUAUGGAGCAAGCGUUAUCCGGAUUUACUGGGUGUAAAGGGAGCGCAGGCGGUCUGGCAAGUCUGAUGUGAAAUACCGGGGCUCAACUCCGAGACUGCAUUGGAAACUGUCAGACUGGAGUGUCGGAGAGGCAGGCAGAAUUCCUGGUGUAGCGGUGAAAUGCGUAGAUAUCAGGAGGAACACCAGUGGCGAAGGCGGCCUGCUGGACGAUGACUGACGCUGAGGCUCGAAAGCGUGGGGAGCAAACAGG